UGAGAGGGUGAACGGCCAUACUGGGAUUGAGAUACGGCCCAGACUCCUACGGGAGGCAGCAAAUCGGAAUAAUCGCCAAUGGGAGCAAUCCUGAGCGUGCGACGCCGCGUGAGCGAUGAAGGCCUUCGGGUUGUAAAGCUCUGUGUUAUGGGAAGAAACCCUGAUAGGUGAACAAUCUAUCAGAUUGACGGUACCAUAAUAGAAAGCCCCGGCUAACUACGUGCCAGCAGCCGCGGUAAUACGUAGGGGGCGAGCGUUGUUCGGAAUCACUGGGCGUAAAGGGCGUACAGGCGGCCAUAUAAGUCGGGUGUGAAAUUCUCGGGCUUAACCCGAGACCUGCAUUCGAUACUGCAUGGCUUGAGAUCAGGAGAGGAGAGUGGAAUAUCUGGUGUAGCGGUGAAAUGCGUAGAUAUCAGAUAGAACACCGGUGGCGAAGGCGGCUCUCUGGCCUGAUUCUGACGCUGACGCGCGAAAGCUAGGGUAGCGAACGGGAUUAGAUACCCCGGUAGUCCUAGCCGUAAACGAUGGGUACUAAGUGUAGGAGGUCAUUGACCCCUCCUGUGCUGUAGCUAACGCAUUAAGUACCCCGCCUGGGGACUACGGUCGCAAGACUAAAACUCAAUGUAAUUGACGGGGGCCCGCACAAGCGGUGGAGCAUGUCGCUCAAUUCGAAGCAACGCGAAGAACCUUAUCCAGUGGCUUGACAUCCUCUACAACUGUGGAAACACAGCUUUUCCUUAUGGGACAGAGUGACAGGUGCUGCAUGGCAGUCGUCAGCUCGUGUCGUGAGAUGUUGGGUUAGGUCCCGCAACGAGCGCAACCCCUAUCUUUAGUUGCCAGCGAGUAAUGUCGGGGACUCCAGAGAGACUGCCGGCGAUAAGCCGGAGGAAGGUGGGGAUGACGUCAUGUCCUCAUGGCCCUUAUGCCCUGGGCUGCACACGUGCUACAAUGGUCGGUACAACGGGUCGUGAAACCGUGAGGUGGAACCAAUCCCUAAAAACCGAUCCCAGUUGGGAUUGUAGUCUGCAACUCGACUACAUGAACGUGGAAUCGCUAGUAAUCGCGAAUCAGCAGGUCGCGGUGAAUACGUUCCCGGGCCUUGUACACACCGCCCGUCACACCACGAAAGUUGGUAGCAUUCGAAGCCUGUGAGCUAACCUUCGGGAAGCAGCAGUCGAAAGUGAAACCAAUGAUUGGGGUGAAGUCGUAACAAGGUA
rnacentral:rRNA from 1 species